AUUGAACGCUGGCGGCAUGCCUUACACAUGCAAGUCGAACGGCAGCACGGGUGCUUGCACCUGGUGGCGAGUGGCGAACGGGUGAGUAAUACAUCGGAACGUACCUUAUCGUGGGGGAUAACGCAGCGAAAGCUGUGCUAAUACCACAUACGCCCUGAGGGGGAAAGCGGGGGAUCGCAAGACCUCGCGCGAUUAGAGCGGCCGAUGCCUGAUUAGCUUGGUGGUGGGGUAAAAGCCCACCAAGGCGACGAUGAGUAGCUGGACUGAGAGGACGAACAGCCAGACUGGGACUGAGACACGGACCAGACUCCUACGGGAGGCAGCAGUGGGGAAUUUUGGACAAUGGGGGCAACCCUGAUCCAGCAAUGCCGCGUGAGUGAAGAAGGCCUUCGGGUUGUAAAGCUCUUUUGUCAGGGAAGACACACCGGCUCUAACACAGUCCGGGAAUGACGGUACCUGAAGAAUAAGCACCGGCUAACUACGUGCCAGCCGCCGCUGUAA
rnacentral:rRNA from 1 species